rnacentral:rRNA from 1 species
AGGAAAUAGAUACCCGGGUAGUCCACGCCGUAAACGAUGCGGACUAGGUGUCGGGGGUAUCGACCCCUCGGCGCCGCAGCUAAACGCAUUAAAGUCCGCCGCCUGGGGACUACGGCCGCAAGGCUAAAACUCAAAGGAAUUGACGGGGGCCCGGCACAAGCAGCGGAGCGUGUGGUUUAAUUCGAUGCAACGCGCAGAACCUUACCUCGGCUUGACAUGCACGUGGUACCGACCCGAAAGGGAAGGGACCCGCGAGGGAGCGUGCACAGAUGCUGCAUGGCUGUCGUCAGCUCGUGCCGUGAGGUGUUGGGUUAAGUCCCGCAACGAGCGCAACCCUUGUCCUUAGUUGAAUUCUCUAGGGAGACCGCCGGUCUAAACCGGAGGAAGGUGGGGAUGACGUCAAGUCAGCACGGCUCUUACGUCGGGGGCUACACACACGCUACAAUGGCCGGUACAACGGGCUGCGAAGGGGCGACCUGGAGCUAAUCCCACCAAAGCCGGUCUCAGUUCGGAUUGCAGGCUGCAACUCGCCUGCAUGAAGUCGGAGUUGCUA